rnacentral:misc_RNA from 1 species
CAACCCUCAAGCCUGGCUUGGUGUUGGGCGCAGCCUGCGCGGCUGGCCCUAAAGACAGUGGCGGCGCCGCCUGGCCCCAAGCGUAGUACAGCUCUCGCUCUCGGGCCCGGCGGUCGCCUGCCAGAACCCCCCAACUCUGU